CUAAUUAUGCAUAAUUAGACCAACGAGGUAGUUGUUUAUAUAUUUGUUUUGUUUCUGCUGAGUUGAGGUUUCUUAUGAUUGUAAUGUAGCCUCCUGAAUUUCAGACUUUUCUUGCCGUUGAAAAAACUGGUUAUAAAGUGUAUAAUUUGUAAUCUUAAAUCGUUUCAAUAUGUUACUAUAUAGUGAAUAACCUCCAAGUAAAAUAUAAGUUCAAGAGUGAAAUCCAAGCUUAAAAUAUUUCAAUUUUAAAAGGAUGUAUCAUAAUUUCUGUAGAAUGUAGUUAUCAUACUUAUAAGAACUGCAAACCAAAUUGAAUAUUUAAUAGUAAAGAGAUAUCAAACAAAUAAUUUUAUGAGUUUGAUAAAGAUGAGGUAUUAUGAUUCUGUUUAUUACAUUUUUUUUCUGUGAUAUAAACAGAGGCUCAUGGCUUUCCAUUAAUAUACUGUCUUCUGCUGGUCUUAAGAUAGGGCUUGAUAAAUGGAGUCAAAUAGGAUAUUAUGCAAGUUCUAAAUUGUGAAAAUUAGCUUACGAUACCGACAGUUAACAAAUGCUAGAUUAUAGUGAUAAUGUCGUUCUGGUCCUUCUAGAUUAUAGUAAUAAAAAGAUCUUCAUUGAGUCUGAACGUUCUAAUUUGUGAUUAUUUUGGUCUGCAGGAUUUUUCUUGCUGAUUAGCUGUUGCAUUGUAGCAGACUAGUAGCAAUCUUCAUGAGAUUGUUAGAGAAGCUUGCUAAGUUUCAUACAAAUGCUCGCCAACUAAUGACAUGGCUAUUGUUUCAGUAUUUUGAAUUAUGCUGUUGCAGUCAUCUAUCACGAGUUUCAUCAUCCACGUGCUGUAGUUUUAAUCUGCUACUUGGACAAAGAGACCUGGAGCAUUGAUGCUUCACUUAUUAGAAUUUGAGAAUCAGGGACAAAGAGACCCAGAGCAAAGAUGCUUCACUUAUAGAAUUUGAGAAUCAGGUUUGAGUAUCUUUUUUUGUUGAUGCUAUUAUAUUACCUUUACUAGAGAAUAUCUCUAGUGGUUUCUCAAAUUUGAUUAUUGAAAAGUCAUUAGUUUUUUGCUUGCUCUUCUGGCUUGCCCCUUAACAUUCUAUAACCUUGCUUGCCAAUUAUUGACAAUUACUAUACAAGAAUUAUGACUUCUAUUAGUCUUUCUGUUAAGAAAGACAAAAGAGACAUUAUCUCACUCUUGAAUUGCAUCCUAGAUAUUCUUUUAUCACAGAUUAUUCAUGAAUAAUAUUUUUAGACACAUUUCAAUUCCUUUAGCCUUUGUUUUUUCUCUUUUAUUUGUGUCUUUUUCAAUUUGCACUUUUCUGAAAAAAUAUAUUACAAACUGAUAUCUAGCUUAUUUUUUCAUCAUUUUAAAAAUAAUAAAUUAUCAUAUUAAGAAUAUAGAUUUGUCAAGAGGAAACCUACCUUGUUGGAGUUGAAUGUAAAGGCACUGAAUUAUCAACAUCAUCAUUUGUUGUUGAUGAAUCACUUGAAGAAUUUGCACAAUUAGCUCAUGCUGUUACACUUGCCAAAAGUAUGUUUCUAUUUCCCCCAUUGAUCAUGAUGCAGCGAAUAGUUCUAUAGUUGCUCUAAGUGUGCACUUCUAGAGGUCUAAAAUCUAGGAGUAUAUUAUUGCUUUGGCUGUGUCAUUGAAUGAUGAAAUUCAGAAAAUAUAUCUUUCUGAGGCAUCUUUCUGACAUGAACUCCAUUCUUUAAUCUUACAUAGGAAAUAUUUGAUUGAUGUCACUUAUCUAGUCCUACAUGACAUGUCAUACUUAGUAAUUUGUGCAUCUCUUUAUAUAUGUCUCCUUCAAGAUUCAUAAAAGUCAUCCAGUGUUGUCAACAACACUAAUAGGUGAAGACAUCAUGGAUAGCUAUUGCCAUCCAUUGAGAUGUUGUAUUAUUGGUUAUAUUUAUUGGGGUUGUAUAAUGUUGAUUUUUUCAAUGGUUGUGAUUUAAAUCCAAAUAGUCACAAUCGUACUUGCUUUCUAUUUGGCUGAAUAAGCUUUGGUGUUAGCGGGUUCUUUGGUUACGUUAAUGUCGCUUGAAGCUAGGGAAUUGGGUUAGAUAAAUUAAAAAAAAUCAGAAAAUCUCAGAAAGUCAGAAAUUAUGAAAGCAAAUGUAAUUUUCAAAUUUUUUUGUGGCCUUAAAAUAGAAAUAUUAAAUGCAAAACUACCUUUUUUGUGAUCUUGGAGUUCUCUCUUGGUGGUUGUUAUUUGUCAUAUUCUUGAGAAGGAUUAGUGACCAGAUGACACUCCUAUAAUAUGGGCUCUUUGCUUUCUCCUUUUCAAAAUUUCUAUGGAAUACUACAAUCAAAAUUUAAUGAUCUAUAAACUCUCCUUAAUCUUAGAUUUUUUCUAAUUGAGUGUGUUUGUUCGGGUGAAAUUAGGGAGUAACUUAUUGACCAAAUGACACUCCUAUAAUAUGGGUCGUUCUAUUCUCCUUUCCAAAAUUGUUGUGGAAUAGUAUAACCAAAAUUUAAUGAUCUAUAAACCCUCUUUGACCUUAGGUUUUUCCCAAUUGAGUGUGUUUCUUCUGAUGAAAUUAGGGAGUAAACUAUUAAUGGUUUUAUUCUCUUCAUUUCUUGGGUAACCACAAUUGCAAUAUGUAGAAUGAAUUUUCUUCGUCAGGUCUUAUGCUGUCUAGUUUGAACUUACAAUAGCAUUUCUAGAGUGCUUGUAAUCAAGAUUCUAGUUAUGCCAACUGAUCCAAAGUUUUGUUUAGGCUUGCUUAUUGAAAUCAAAGACUUUAUAUUGGCUCUAGAAAGGGUGAUGAAGUCAAGUUUGCAAUCCAAGCCCUUGAUAUUGAAUGUGUAAUUUUAUCAAGAAGAAGUUCUUAUGCAUUUAUGAUAUAAUUAUUAUGUAGUCAUUAAAGCUCUCUAAUGUUGUAUUUUAUAUUUCUUACUAUGCUUUAACUAAAAUGACUUUACUCGCAAUAAUAUAAACUAAAAUGACAUUACUAGGGGUGAGGAAGGGAGAAGAAGGAAGGAGGAAAGAGGAAGAAAAAUGGAGGUAGAAGGAUGCUAUGGUGGAAGAGGCGGAAAAGAAGAUGAGAACACUUGGCGGUGGUUGCAGAAAGAGCAAAACAGGCUUGUGAGGAGACACGAACCUCAGAAGGAGAACCGGUUCAAGUAAUUUUAAAAGAAAAAAUGAUUUGAUUUGGGUCUUUGAAAAGGGAAAACGGCCCUAGCAUUUUUGUAUAAAAAAGGAAAAAAAUCAUACCAUACAGCCUGAAAUGAGGCAGUCCACAUCUUAAAUCAUGCCCAGACAGUCAUUAUCAAUCAAACUGAUUAAAAUUUAAAUCUAUGGGUAUAACACGAACAAGUAUACAAACAAAUAGUUGAAUAUUUUAAAACUGUACAAUAUACUAAUGCCAGCAAAUGACCACAUUGAUGUUGUCGUUAUACGUUGGUUACUUGAAUUAGUGCUUUCUAGAAUAGUAACAUGAAAAAAAAUAUUGAGGAAAAAUAAGUUGGAAUAUAUAAGAUAUCUUUUAUGACUUGAAAGAAAAAACACUUAUUUGAGGUAAAAUUACUAAUUAUUAUGUAUCCUGUUGAUGGCAUUCGCCACCAAGUUGGAAAAUAACCAAAUUUCUUUGAUCAUUAGAAAAAAAUAA